AUUGAACGCUGGCGGCAGGCCUAACACAUGCAAGUCGAGCGGAUGAAGGGAGCUUGCUCCUGGCUUCAGCGGCGGACGGGUGAGUAAUGCCUAGGAAUCUGCCUGGUCGUGGGGGAUAACGUCCGGAAACGGGCGCUAAUACCGCAUACGUCCUGAUGGAGAAAGUGGGGGAUCUUCGGACCUCACGCUAUCAGAUGAGCCUAGGCCGGAUUAGCUAGUUGGUGGGGUAAAGGCCUACCAAGGCGACGAUCCGUAACUGGUCUGAGAGGAUGAUCAGUCACACUGGAACUGAGACACGGUCCAGACUCCUACGGGAGGCAGCAGUGGGGAAUAUUGGACAAUGGGCGAAAGCCUGAUCCAGCCAUGCCGCGUGUGUGAAGAAGGUCUUCGGAUUGUAAAGCACUUUAAGUUGGGAGGAAGGGCAGUAAGUUAAUACCUUGCUGUUUUGACGGUACCAACAGAAUAAGCACCGGCUAACUUCGUG
rnacentral:rRNA from 1 species